rnacentral:rRNA from 1 species
AUUGAACGCUGGCGGCAGGCCUAACACAUGCAAGUCGAGCGAGCGGCGGACGGGUGAGUAAUGUCUGGGAAACUGCCUGAUGGAGGGGGAUAACUACUGGAAACGGUAGCUAAUACCGCAUACCAUCAGAUGUGCCCAGAUGGGAUUAGCUAGUAGGUGGGGUAAUGGCUCACCUAGGCAACGAUCCCUAGCUGGUCGGAGAGGAUGACCAGCGCCACUGGAACUGAGACACGGUCCAGACUCUGCCGGGAGGAAGCGUUGGGGAAUAUUGCACAAUGGGCGAAAUCCUGAUGCAGCCCUGCCGCGUGUAUGAAGAAGGCCUUCGGGUUGUAAAGUACUUUCAGCGAGGAGGCGUUACUCGCAGAAGAAGCACCGGCUAACUCCGUGCCAGCAGCCGCGGUAAUAC